rnacentral:rRNA from 1 species
UACGUAGGGGGCAAGCGUUGUCCGGAAUCAUUGGGCGUAAAGCGCGUGUAGGCGGCCCGGUAAGUCCGCUGUAAAAGUCCAGGGCUCAACCCUGGAAAGCCGGUGGAUACUGUCGGGCUCGAGUCCGGAAGAGGCGAGUGGAAUUCCUGGUGUAGCGGUGAAAUGCGCAGAUAUCAGAAGGAACACCGAUGGCGAAGGCAGCUCGCUGGGACGGUACUGACGCUGAGACGCGAAAGCGUGGGGAGCAAACAGG